GAUGAACGCUGGCGGCGUGCCUAAUACAUGCAAGUCGAGCGAACGGACGAGAAGCUUGCUUUUCUGAUGUUAGCGGCGGACGGGUGAGUAACAUGUGGAUAACCUACCUAUAAGACUGGGAUAACUUCGGGAAACCGGAGCUAAUACCGGAUAAUAUUUUGAACCGCAUGGUUCAAAAGUGAAAGACGGUCUUGCUGUCACUUAUAGAUGGAUCCGCGCUGCAUUAGCUAGUUGGUAAGGUAACGGCUUACCAAGGCAACGAUGCAUAGCCGACCUGAGAGGGUGAUCGGCCACACUGGAACUGAGACACGGUCCAGACUCCUACGGGAGGCAACAGUAGGGAAUCUUCCGCAAUGGGCGAAAGCCUGACGGAGCAACGCCGCGUGAGUGAUGAGGGUCUUCGGAUCGUAAAACUCUGUUAUUAGGGAAGAACAUAUGUGUAAGUAACUGUGCACAUCUUGACGGUACCUAAUCAGAAAGCCACGGCUAACUACGUG
rnacentral:rRNA from 1 species